GACGAACGCUGGCGGCGUGCUUAACACAUGCAAGUCGAACGCUGAAGCCCUUUCGGGGGUGGAUGAGUGGCGAACGGGUGAGUAACACGUGGGUAAUCUGCCCCGCACUCUGGGAUAAGCCUUGGAAACGAGGUCUAAUACCGGAUAGGACAUGCCAUCGCAUGGUGGGGUGUGGAAAGUUCCGGCGGUGUGGGAUGAGCCCGCGGCCUAUCAGCUUGUUGGUGGGGUGAUGGCCUACCAAGGCGAUGACGGGUAGCCGGCCUGAGAGGGUGACCGGCCACACUGGGACUGAGACACGGCCCAGACUCCUACGGGAGGCAGCAGUGGGGAAUCUUGCGCAAUGGGCGAAAGCCUGACGCAGCAACGCCGCGUGGGGGAUGACGGCCUUCGGGUUGUAAACCUCUUUCGACACUGAUGAAGCCUCACUUUCUGGGUGGGGUGACGGUAGGUGUAGAAGAAGCACCGGCUAACUACGUGCCAGCCGCCGCUGUAA
rnacentral:rRNA from 1 species